GGCCAGACUCCUACGGGAGGCAGCAGUGGGGGAUAUUGCACAAUGGGGGAAACCCUGAUGCAGCGACGCCGCGUGGGCGAAGAAGUAUUUCGGUAUGUAAAGCCCUAUCGGCAGGGAAGAAAUUGGACGGUACCUGACUAAGAAGCCCUGGCUAACUACGUGCCAGCAGCCGCGGGAAUACGUAGGGGGCAAGCGUUAUCCGGAUUCACUGGGCGUAAGGGGAGCGUAGACGGCCAUGCAAGCCUGGAGUGAAAGCCCGGGGCCCAACCCCGGGACUGCUCUGGGAACUGUGCGGCUGGAGUGCGGGAGGGGCAGGCGGAAUUCCUGGUGUAGCGGCGAAAUGCGUAGAUAUCAGGAGGAACACCGGCGGCGAAGGCGGCCUGCUGGACCGCGACUGACGUUGAGGCUCGAAAGCGUGGGGAGCAAACAGGAUUAGAUACCCCAGUA
rnacentral:rRNA from 1 species